UCAGUAAUGGGCAGCCCUGGGGAAGGGGACAGUGUUGAGCAUCUUAGCUCCCAGGAACUGGUAGCCAGCAGAGCUCAUGCCCUUGCCUAAAAGGAAUACAGGUCCUUUCUGUUCAAGGGGGAAGAUUGUAUCCUAUAGCUCUUAUUAGAGAAACAGUGGACUUUGAGUUGGACUUCAGCCCAUGCAGGGCCCCUCUGAAGAAAGAAAGAGCAGGCUUUGGAACAGGAGCAGGAGCAGCACGUUUUGGGUCCAUUUUUGGAGGAGCUGAUGGUCUCCUCAAGGAACAGCCCACUGCGAAACCUGCAGCAGACACAGAUGGGACAGAAGUUGACCCUAAGCUCAGCCACUUGACCUCUAUUGGCUGUAGUACCUCCACAGUUUGCCCGCACAGCAGUAGAAGCCUGGGACAACGUAUCUUCAUCUACCUUUCCAAGAGGAAGCAUUUCCAUGAUGAACUUCAAACGUAACUUCUGGAGAGGACCAACAAGCAAGUCCAGUACCAAAGACAAAGGCACGUACAGCUGGAGGAAAGGCAUACCACAGGACAAGAGAAAGGGUCAGCCUGGCUGCACAGCUUGAGGAGAGGUCUUCAGCCCAGGAAUGGUGGCUAAGGGAGGAGGACAGAAUUCACCAGAAAGAGCUGUUUGAGUGUCUUAUAUCACUAGUAACUGCAAAAGUAGUGGCUCCUGCUGCAUCACCCCUGCCAUGGCCUGAGUCCCCUGUGUGCUACCCCGAGCUGCAGUCCAGAAGCAGCUUGAAAGACUCCAUUGCUGGCUGGCAUCUUGCUCCACGCAAUCCUCCAUAUUGACCCACUCCCCUGUGGAUGCCCCAACCUCCCUCCUACAGUGUUGCAUGCAUGGCAAAUGGGGAAAGAAGAAUAGGUGGCUAUAGGAUGUGCCAUGGUAGGGGGUGUCUGUCUUGUACGUGAUUUCACUGUUCGUGCAGGUAUUUUUUUUCUGUAAGGUUCUGUUACUGGUGUUUUGGUGUGGUAAUAGGAGCUUGCCCACCUGUGAAUGGGUGAAUAUUUUACUUUUCUAAUACAGGUUUAUAAAGGUAUUUUUUUAAUAUAUGAAUUUUUUUUAAUUUCUAUUACUGCUUCACAUUGUAUGAUGUGUAGCCAAAAUAAUAAAGGUAAACACAUGAUCAGGGACAAUUAGGAAUUAGUAUGCAAAGACUGUCCCUCAGUAUAGUUAUCUAUAGCAAUUCCUACUUCAGUCACUUCCUUACAUCAUUCCAUACUGUGAAUAAUCACCUCCCCCCCAAUUUCAUAAGUGGUCUUGUCAUUCAAAAGUACAUUACAUAGCAUUAAAAUUCCACGCCUCUCUCCAAAAACUCCACUCCUCUUCACAAUCAGUGAGCCUCCAUAUCAUCACUCCUCACAACCCCCCACCACAAGCUUAUUCAUAAAGAUACUAUUCCCUCUCUUCUGUUGCACCAUGCAAGUCCAUAAUGUGGGAGCACAAAACAUCCCUGGCUUCUGGUACCUGGGUGCAUCCAGCUUCAGCUGUGGUAGGUGUGCUUUCUGGCUGAGCACACUGAUUCAGGGGUCCCUCGGUGUCAGGGGGGAAAUGGCUCACAUCUGGCUUCACAAUGAUUAUGAAGAGCACAGCAAGCCACAGUAAUGCAGACACCACUGAUGACACUGGCAUCCAAAUGGGUCUAUAAACAUCUCAAAUGGGAUUUCAGUCUGCCAAAAGCACAUUCAACAACUAUUCUGCACCUGUUGGGAAUGUAAUUAGAGUAUCUUUUGCCAGGGCCUCUGAAAUCAGGAUAUAAUUUCAUAAGCCAAGGCAGACGGAAAUAUGCAGUGUCCCUCAGAAUAACAGUGGGGACAGUAACUCCAUUUAUGACAAUGUCAUUUGGUGGGAAUAUUGUCCCAGUCUGUCCAUGAAUGUAGACUCCUCUUGGUGGAAAACCCUGGCUUCAUGAACUUUCCCAGUGCAACUCACAUUGACAUUCAUAAAUCACCCUCUGUGGUCCACUAGGACCUGCAUAACAAUAGAGUAGUACUCCUUGUGGUUUAUGUGCUCCUUGAGGAGAGCAAAUUAUGGGCACAUGAGUCCCAUCAAUGGCCCCAGUCACUUUGGAGUAAACCACACACCUGAUUGCCUCAGAAACCUCCACAACCAUUUUCCAAUACCAAACUGGUUUGCAAUGAACCUGUAGCAGUUUGGGGUAGCCAGUUUCUAGACGGCUAUAGUUACCUGCUUCUGGACUGGCAUGGGUGGCCUCAUGCAUGUGUCUUUAUGCUGGGAGGGUCAGGACAAGUUGCUCACAAAGCUCCAGAAAUGUAGCUUUCUUCAUGCAAAAGUGCUGGACCCCUUGAUGUCAUUCCAGGUCUGCAUGAUGAUGUGAUCCAACUUGUGCUUGUGGCCCUGCUCCUGAAGUGCUGGUGGGGGGUAUCGGGGCUGUACUGAGAAGCAUCAGUUUGUCUGCCAUGCUUGGGUACCCCUCCUCCUGCUCCAUAAUAAACUGUGUCAGGUUCCUUUGGUGGGUCAGAAAACACUGCUGAAAUGUCCAUCAGCAUCUCACGGGAGCUCUGUUUGACACAGGAGUGAAAGCACAAGCAAGAGGAGUUCUUCAAAAAGUGCCUCCUCCAUGUAGCUGCCUCCAGUAGCUGGGAGCAUACUGACCAAAAUGACUAUCUGGCAGGAUGUGUUGGUGGAUUGUUCUAACUUCUUGUAAUGUGCAGCAUGGAGCCAAGUUUUUCCAUAGUGCACCAUGGUCAAAGGGCUAGAGUGGCCACAUUUGUGGGGGUGCCAGGGAGUCUGGGAUAGAGUCGGUUUGACUCAGGUGCUGCAGUGUGGACACCAGAGCCCCAGAUUCCAUCCUGGGUUAGAAAAUUCUUAACCUAGGGUUAACGAUCAGUGUAGAUGCUCAAGCCUUGGGUUCUCUAAUCCAGAAUCAGUUGACUUGAGUCCCGCUAACCCUGGGUUUACAUUGCAGUGUAGCUGUACCCUCUGAGUACUUUCCCCAGACCUGAAGAAGAGCUCUGUAUAGCUCAAAAGUUUUUCUAUUUCACCAGCAAAAGUUGUUUCAAUAAAAUAUAUUACCUCAUCCAUGUUGCCACUGUAUAAUGAGUCCAUAAUACAUACAUAUAAGGGGAAAUAGGUAUUUGACUUUGCUCCUAACAGCUCAGUGAAAGUGUUCCAUGGCAAAACAUUUUCCUAAACUUUGUCUGAGUAUCCUUUGGAACUUACAUAUCUGAUGAUCCAUACAACUGCUGUACUUUUGCAUUUGAAUAUAUUUGAUUCUAGGGAGAAUAAAAGGUCAGAUGCUGCUUUGUC